GAAAUCUUGGGCUCCUCUCCCUCUUGAUUGCUGGCUGAAAAUCUUGGCUUGGCACUCCCAAGCUGCACACCACAGCUCUGGGACAAUCUCAAGCUUUAUAUCCCUUCCCAUCUUGGAGGAAUCAGAGGAAGGAAAGUUAGCAGUGGUUGUGACAGAGGGUUUUUCACUUGUCUCUUGGAGCUCCACCUCAGAAAGACGCAGAGCUGCUAUCAAUCAGUAUGAUUGGCCUAGGAUGGGGCAGCUGUGCUGUGAGACCAACCCAUGGCAGACAUCCAGCUGAUCACACUGUGUCCACAUAAGGCAAAUGCUGAGCUGUAAUCCAUCAAGCUGUUUCCAAAUCACCAGAUCUACUCCUUGGAUGAUAAAGCAAUGCAAAUUGCAGAAAUUAGAGGAUGCCAACAGAGAUAGUAGCUUCUAAGAUGGAAGAAGAAUCUUACCAGAAUUGAGCCUGGUCUUGGACUUCCAGCCUCCAGAACUGUGAUAAAUAUUAGGCAUAGAGAAAAGGCCAUAUGAGUACACAGCCAGAAGGUGUCUGCCUACAAGACAAAGAGGGAAAACUUACCUGAAACCAACCCUGAUGGAUAUUGGAUUUCUAAGCUCCAGAACUAAAAGAAUCAGUUUUAGAUUCUUCCGUCACUACAUUUGCUGCCUCGUACAUUUAAUAUGAUGCUCCAAAAUGAGAAAACUGACAAGCAAGCAGAACAGACAUAAUUGCCUGAGAUUUAACUUCAGAAAGCAAAACUAAGUUUCCAAAAUAUCAAAAAUAUUUUAAGUGUUGUUGUAUUUGUUGUUAUAUUAAUACAUGAUUUGGUUUUAUUGAAAUAAAAUAAUAAAUUUUGUA
rnacentral:lncRNA from 1 species